GCCCCUGUGGUGCAGUGGUCAGCGCGCUCCGUGCUGCCUUCUCAUAAUGUACUCACACUGAAGACUUACCGAGCAUACAGGCCCCUCCACCAGGUUGACCUUGUGUGGGGGGUGGUCCUGCCUCUGGGUGGUAAUUCUUCAGUGUGAGUACAUCAGGGGAGGUGAGGUAUGGAGAGACCCUUGGUUCGAUUCCAGGCAGGUGUG